UAGGUUAGCCAUGCGUGUCACAGCGAAAUCCAGUGAAUGACAAUGAACUAAGCAAAUGUGUGUGUGUGUGUGUGUAAGGGAGGAGGUGGCAUGCUUGCUGUAUCACUCCCUCCAUCCAUCCAUCCAUCCGUUUAUUCCUCCUCCACUUCUUCCUCGUUGGUGGCGUGUCGGCUAGAAGGACGGCCCCCGGUGCUCUGACACACUCACAUACGUGCAGACACACACCUCCGCGAUGUGUCACUACCCAUUCCACCUGCCUCUUCCUGUCAUUGCCUGCUCUCUCUUCCAUCCUACACUUGCUCUUUUUCCCUCCUUUUUUUGUUCUCUCUCAGUCUUUCUGUCCACCCCUCCUUGUCCUCAACCCCCCCUACGCUGUGUGUCACCUCUGCUGGGAAGAAAGAAAAAAUGCUCCGGCCGACGAAAGGGAGAAGACAAAAAGAAAAAGGAGAAAAGAGUCAAAAGGGAGAAGACCGCAAAAGCUGGAGUGUGUUUGGAGCGCAGCGAUGCCUCCAUCCACCAUCUCUCUUCUCUGAUGGAAUAUCCCGGACAGCGGCGGGCAGAAGGAGGGAGAAGGAGGUGAAGAAAAAGUACUGAAGAGGACUGGAAGAAGAAUAAAAGGACUGAGAAAGAAGACAGGAAGGAAGGACAGCACUCGCCUCAGGAGGCUCCAUCCAGUCCAGUCUCAUUGUCCUUACACACACCUCGCCUCUGAGCGUGAGCGUGCACACUCAUGUGUGCACGUGUCUGUGUGAGGACCGGGGUGCAGCCGCUCAUUUCCACGCCACAGCGUAGCGGAGCGCCGGAUUCCUCUCUGAGGUUUACGUGGAUGCGCUGCAUCAGAUAAGGCCAUGCCCUUCACCUGUGCCUGCUUCUGUGGUCUGAACGGCUUCUGCCGUAGACGGAAGAAGAAGAAAAAGGAACAAGUGGAGGAGGAGGACGAGGGUGAGGAAGUAGGACGAUGGAGGGAUCAGGAGACAGAGGUGUGACCGCGAUGCAGUCCGCUGCGCUCUCCCUCCCUUUACCAGCGUUUUAUCCUUUAACAAACUGGAACGUACGGCUGCUCAGUACAGACUGUCUGAUAUUAUGCAUGGGGAGACUGUAACAGGGAUGGGGGGGAAGGGGCUUCAGCAGGCACAGGCUUUUAUUGAAAUUACAUUUUGAACCAGAUACUGCAUCUCUUUCGAAAGUGUCUAAGGCUUCAGGUUCUACGCAUUUUCUACUUUUUAAGCUGCAUAAACUCAACAACUGCAAUGCUGCCUUGAGCCACAUUCCUCAAAAUGAAUCAGAUUUAUGAAAAUAAAAGCCUGUGAACCCUGCGCUCAUCCCCAUUAACCAUCCUUGCUGCAUUUCCAUUUUCCCUUGGCAGCUGACAGAGAACUUUGCUUCUGCUGAUGUGAUUCCAAAAAGCAUUUUUAUCAGUGUGAUUUAUUUCUUGCCAUAGCUGGUGUACUGUAUAAGUUGUAAAGAGACGGCGGGCCCUUGAAAUCCAUUAUUUCUCUCAGUCACACUUCUCAGCAUCUCUCCCUUCUCCUCCUUAAUCGCAGCUCCACGGAGGCUGAAUGGACCUCCUCGCCUACCUGCUUAUGUCAGAUCAACUUAGUGCAAACUUCAGCCAAGUGAGAAAGUGUACAGUAAUUUCCAAAGUCACCCAUGGAGGGCUGGAGCCUAUCUCGGUUUUCACGCUGAGCUGGGCCCAAUUUAAAGCAGAGCAGCUGUCCAAUCAGCAGCUUAGCUGAAGUGUGAAGAUAGGAGUCAAGGGUCAGAAUGAGCAACAGGUUUUGUGAGAAGUCCCUCCUCUGAUGCCGUAGCAUCUCUGUCUCAUUAAUAGCCAGACAAGUAAUUACAAACACGUACACACUGAUGCAGACCCAUCCAUUAAUGUUCCCCAUGGGGGGUGGAGUGUCUGUCCGUAAAUGCCACUGCGGUGCGCUUGCAGCUGUCACCUGUGUGAGUGUGUGACUCUGAGAGUGUGUGUCUGUGUGCUUUUGUUUCUUCUUGGCUGCAACAAUAGACUUUCAAAGCUGAAACAAGUGGUUAAGAGAUCCAUUCAGCUGCUAUAAAACUGCCUUUUCAGAAUGCACGUCGAGACACAAAGACCCAAACACACACACACACACACACACACACACACACUCACACAGAUAGUUCUCAUUAGCGUAUGUGAUUAUGCAUUGCACGUCCAGUCAGGCAGUGGAGAUGUAAUUAACCUUUUCCAGCAGGAAACAGAUGCCUGGAUGUCACACACAAACACACAGUGACAUACACACACACACACACACACACACACACACACACACACACGUCUGCUGUCAGGGAAACAAAGCCAACGUCAUGGUGUCACGGAAACAAAGCCCCAAAAGCGCCGCCUGGCACUCUGUGAUAAUCCCCUCACGCAUAUUUACAUCCAGGGCUUAGAAUAUGCCUCGGCGCCGCCAUCUCCACCCCCAGCCUCCACCCAUCCCUCCUCUCGCUCCUCUGCUUCUACCUUUUGGACUUCCACCACAUUCCCCUUUUCCUUCCGCUAUCUCUUCCUCUCCUCCAUCUUUUCCCUCUCUCCCAAAACUCUCUCCUUCGUGGGUUUCAUCUGUUUAUCAUCAGUGGACAGUACAUGGCCUUGCAUGGCAUCUCCCACAGAUUAGCCCCCAUUCUGUCUUUCUCUGACUCUUAGUAUCAGGGAUUUCUUCAGGCGGGAAAAAAAGCUGCUUUACGACAGAUUAAUGGACAGCUCUGAUUGUGUCUGUGGCUGCGUGAAAUAGAUUGUCUGUUUACCCACACUCCCGCUUACAAGCGGCGAAAUGAGACAAAGCUAAAGCCAUUUCACAGUGUAGAGCACCUAUUAUGAUUCACUGUGUUACGACGCAGGCCUAAUGAGAAAUAGAGCGAGGGAAUGAGAAGAGGGGUUGGAGGAGGAUCGGGGCGGAGGAGAGAAAAAGACGGUAAUGAGAGCGAGAGUCGGAUACGGAAGAUGGGGGCUAAUGCUAGACAGAGCAUUCAUGCUAAUUGGCUACAGUGGAUAACUUUCUGAGGCGGGGGAUGAGUGUGUGUGGUGGUGGGGGGGAGGGGGGUAGUAAAGAAAAAAGAACAGCCUGAUCUGUUGGAGUUACACUCAUUUAGCGCUCCCUCCAUUUCACCUCUUUAAUGAGAGGAAUAUUCGUUCCAGUAGACUUGAAAUUGGUAACGAUUUGUUGCUCACACACACACACACAGGUUUGUGGCACUAUCUUUGUGGGGACCGUCAUUUACAUAAUGCAUUCCCUAGCCCCUUACCCUAACCUUAACCAUCACAACUAAAUGCCUAACCUUAACCCUUACCCUCACCCUAACCAUAACCUAAUUCUAUCCCUAAUCCUAAAACCAAGUCUUAACCCUCAAACAGCCCUUUAACCUUGUGGGGUCCAGUAUUUUGGCCCCCCAAAGCUGUCGGAACCCAACAAGUAUACUGUAUUACCCGGUUUUCGGAACCCACGAAUAUAGUAAAACAAUCGCACAGACGCACACACACACACACACACACACACACACACACACACUUGGAGGUGGUGGUGAUGGUAUUAGCGAGGGAAGGUGUGCGUUUUCCCUCAAGCGCCACAAACCCAGUCCUUUAUGGAUCAUGGCAAUUUUCAGGGAUUGUGACUCAAGGACAAACAGCUAAAAAUAGAGUGGUGGUGCACGACUCCAGCGACAGCGUGGGAGGGGGUGGGGGGGGGGCGGUGAAAACGAGUCCUGUCGCAUUAGAUUUGGGUCAGAAACGAGGGAAGAGCCGACGAAGCAGAGAGUGUUACAGACGGCGGAGAGAUUCAUCAUUCACCGCUCCCUGUACCUCUCCUCUCUCACUCGUCUCCUUCAACACCUCACCCCCCCAAACACACACACACACACACACACCUCCUCUCUAACAACGAUGGUAAAAGACAAAGAAGAAGUAGCAAGGAAGAAAGAGAGGGAGAAGUGACUGUAGGUUAGAUAAUAUUAUAAUAUUAAUAGAUGCUGUUCUAUCUGAGGCUCUUUACUGUAUAAUGAGUGCAUGCAUAAAUUCACACUAUGAAAGCUCCCAGUAGGGAACAUAUUGUCUGUUCCCAGUUUAAAGGAACUUUGACAUUUUAUUUACUUUCCUAUUGUACUCUCAUGUCUGUAUGUUUAGCAUGAAGCUGCAGGGAAGUGGGAAUCACUUUUUAUUAGCAUAAUGACUGGACGCAAAGACUUAGACUUAGACUUCUCUUUAUUGAACCCUCUGGGAUGACUCCCACAAGGAAAUUAGAUUUCCAGCAGCAGAUUUUAGCAUCAAAGAUAGAAAAAAUACAGUAUAAGAAUAACAAUAAACUUUUAGCUAAAUAUUUUUACAAAAAUAAACAAACAGUAAAACAACAAUGAACUACAGAUAAAUAGGGAUAGAUAUAUAUAUAUAUAGGACUGUGUAUGGUAUUGUGUUAUUAUACAGUUAAUAAAUAAGUGACAUUUAGCAUAAAUUAGCAGUUAAGAGCAGUUAGAGUGU